ACCCCGUAAGACUGUUUCCACGAGGUUUUAUUAGGGUUCUAUGAACAAAAAAUCAAUCCCCAAAUUCCAAUAAUUCUCUAUUUCCGUAAACAUGAAUUCUUCUUCUGAUUCUGAAACACCAGAGAAAAUUACUGAAGAAAUCCCAAAUCAAACAAAUCCAAUUCCUGCAGAAACCCUAGAAAAUCAAAAUUCAGAUGUUGUCUUAUUAGAUCAGAAGACAAGUGAUUCUUCAAACAAGGGAGAAGAAAAAGAGGAUGAAGAAGAAGAAGCAGAAUGUGGGUUUUGUUUAUAUAUGAAAGGAGGUGGAUGCAAAGAUAGUUUUAUUGCUUGGGAGAAAUGUAUGGAGGAAGCUGAAGAGAAGAAAGAAGAUGUUGUUGAGAAAUGUUAUCAAGUUACUUUGUCAUUAAAGAAUUGUAUGGAAGCUCAUCCUGAUUAUUAUGCCCCAAUUCUCAAGGCAGAGAAAGCUGCUGAACAACAAGUUACCAAGGGAAUGGAGGAAUUGAACAAGGAGAAAGAAUCCAAGGAAAGAGGAGGAGGAGAUACAGAGGUUAAGGAGAUUGAGAUAGAAAUUGAGAUUGAGAAUGAGAAUGGAAUUGAAUUGCAGAAUAAGAUUGAAAAAAUAGAAGGAGAAGCGGUGAAGAUGGAGAAAUCAACGGAUUUGGAGAGUGUAGUCGCUGUUAAAGAAGGCGGCCAAGAGGUGAAGGAAGUAGAAUUGAAUAACAAAAUUGCAGAAGAAGAAGUGGUUGAGAAGAAGAUAGAGAAGCAAACAGAUUCGGAGAGUGUAGUAGCUGGAAAAGACGAAAAAGAAGACGAAGAGGUGAAGGAAGUAGAAUUGAAUAACAAAGUUGCAGAAGAAGAAACAAAGAAUCCAGUAAUGUCAUUUUUUGACAAAGUAUUUUCUUUUAAAUUUUGAAGGAGGAGAAAAGAAGGAAAUUAGAUUUGAGGGAAUUCCCAUUGUGUAUCUAUUGAUGAUGGGAUUGCUCAGUCAUAUGCAUAAUUUGGGUGGGGGCACUAAGAGAGUGUAUCUGGCAUACGGUCCAGCUCAUAUUUAUUUGCUCAAAGACAAGCCUUGUGCAGAAAGGUUAAAGAAGGAGAUAGAUAGAGCAGUAGAACCCAAUAGUAAAGUUGCAGAAGAGGAAAAACAGAAUCCAGUGUUCUCUUUUUUCAACAAUAUCGUUUCUUUUGGUUUUUUAAGCUUUUAUUUUAUAGGUAUCAGCAGCAAAAUAAAGGAAUUGCUUUUGGUGAUACUGGGGUUAUUCAAUCAUGCAAGUAACUUCUAACAGUUCCAAAUCUCUUAAAAUUGAUUCUAUUUCUUUUGGUAUAUGAAACAAAAUUGUGUGCAAUUUCAGACUUCAAUGUUUUGUUCCAUAUUUAUAAAGAUAUAUUUUCUAUGGGUUUUCCUAAGGUGUUACUUUGCUGGCUUUAUGAUCUAGAGUAAUUGAUAGUUUGAUUUGAAAGGGUUUAUUGUUCGUGGGCUAUUCUUUAUUAUAAGCAUCCUUUCUAAGCAAUGAUCAUAUAUUCAUGAGUGCCGUGGUUUG